CUUUUAUGUCGAACAAUUUUGGCAUUUUUUCCACUCGAAAAUUGUUUGUUGGAAUUAAUCAUUUUAUUAUUUUAUAAAUCCCACUCCUAAUAACUCCAGAUGUCCUUAUCGUGUUAUUGGCCUAAUUAAUUAUACAUUUGGUGAGAGAUUAGCAAAAAAACAUGUGUUUAUUUGCAUUUCCUAACGACCGUAAAAGGUCACUCGCAAUAUGCAGUAAAUCAUUUUGGUACUUAAGGAUUCCCCCACUCAUCUACCUAUCUUACUUUUGUGAUCCCAACGGUGAAUGGCAACAAUACCGCAUAAGAGCCUGCAGGGGGUUAUUAGCAAAAGUCGCAUUGUUAAGAGGAAAUGGAACACACGCGAUGCCACACGAUGUCCUGUCGAUAUGAAAUCCCCUGCAACCGGAUUAUUUGUGUCAUGAUACCCACUCAGGAGUUCCACCCAUGUGUGGUGUAGCAUGAUACUCUGUUAUGCUUGGUGGUGCUGACGUUGACGAUGGUGAUGAUGACAGCGACUGACAUCAAUGAUGUGAGAAGAUAUCAACAAUUAUGUUACCUUGAUAUCACCUUCAUGGCAAGAACAACGGUCGUUGUCUCGUGCUUCAUGAAAUAGUGGUUGUUUUGGCUUAUUAUUAUUGUUUAAAACAAAUGGUUGUCAUGUCCUAAUAAAAUCAAGUAUUAUAUCUCACAA